GUCGAACGGUAACAUGAAUAGCAAUAUUUGAUGACGAGUGGCGCACGGGUGCGUAACGCGUAUGCAACCUACCUUAAACUGGAGAAUAGCCCCGAGAAAUCGGGAUUAAUACUCCAUAGUAUUACGAUUAGACAUCUUUUUGUAAUUAAAGUUCCAACGGUUUAAGAUGGGCAUGCGUGACAUUAGUUUGUUGGUGAGGUAACGGCUCACCAAGACUUCGAUGUCUAGGGGUUCUGAGAGGAUUAUCCCCCACACUGGUACUGAGACACGGACCAGACUCCUACGGGAGGCAGCAGUAAGGAAUAUUGGUCAAUGGGCGCAAGCCUGAACCAGCCAUGCCGCGUGCAGGAUGAAUGCCCUAUGGGUUGUAAACUGCUUUUGUACGGGAAAAAACCUUCGAACGUGUUCGGAGCUGAUGGUACCGUAAGAAUAAGGAUCGGCUAACUCCGUGCCAGCAGCCGCGGUAAUACGGAGGAUCCAAGCGUUAUCCGGAUUUAUUGGGUUUAAAGGGUGCGUAGGCGGAAUAAUAAGUCAGUGGUGAAAACCUACAGCUUAACUGUAGAACUGCCAUUGAUACUGUUAAUCUUGAGUAUAUUUGAAGUGGGCGGAAUGUGUCAUGUAGCGGUGAAAUGCUUAGAUAUGACACAGAACUCCGAUAGCGAAGGCAGCUCACUAAACUAUAACUGACGCUGAGGCACGAAAGCGUGGGGAUCAAACAGGAUUAGAUACCCUGGUAGUCCACGCUGUAAACGAUGAUUACUCGAUGUGUGCGAUACACUGUACGCGUCUGAACGAAAGCAUUAAGUAAUCCACCUGGGGAGUACGACCGCAGGUUGAAACUCAAAGGAAUUGACGGGGGCCCGCACAAGCGGAGGAGCAUGUGGUUUAAUUCGAUGAUACGCGAGGAACCUUACCUAGGCUUAAAUGUAGUUUGACUUUUCCGGAAACGGGAUUUCUCUU
rnacentral:rRNA from 1 species